rnacentral:rRNA from 1 species
UGCUUUACACAUGCAAGUCGAACGGUAACAGGCCGCAAGGUGCUGACGAGUGGCGAACGGGUGAGUAAUGCAUCGGAACGUGCCCAGUCGUGGGGGAUAACGCAGCGAAAGCUGUGCUAAUACCGCAUACGAUCUAUGGAUGAAAGCGGGGGACCGUAAGGCCUCGCGCGAUUGGAGCGGCCGAUGUCAGAUUAGGUAGUUGGUGGGGUAAAGGCCCACCAAGCCAACGAUCUGUAGCUGGUCUGAGAGGACGACCAGCCACACUGGGACUGAGACACGGACCAUACACCUACGGGUGGCUGCAGCCGAGAAUAUUCGACAAUGGACGAAAGUCUGAUCGAGCGACACCGCGUGAUGGAUGUUGACCUUAGGGUCGUAAACAUC